UAGGGAAUCUUCCGCAAUGGACGCAAGUCUGACGGAGCAACGCCGCGUGAGUGAAGAAGGUUUUCGGAUCGUAAAGCUCUGUUGUUAAGGAAGAACGAGUGUGAGAAUGGAAAGUUCAUACUGUGACGGUACUUAACCAGAAAGGGACGGCUAACUACGUGCCAGCAGCCGCGGUAAUACGUAGGUCCCGAGCGUUGUCCGGAUCUAUUGGGCGUAAAGCGAGCGCAGGCGGUUAGAUAAGUCUGAAGUUAAAGGCAGUGGCUCAACCAUUGUAGGCUUUGGAAACCGUUUAACUUGAGUGCAGAAGGGGGGAGUGGAAUUCCAUGUGUAGCGGUGAAAUGCGUAGAUAUAUGGAGGAACACCGGUGGCGAAAGCGGCUCUCUGGUCUGUAGCUGACGCGGAGGCUCGAAAGCGUAGGGAGCGAACAGG
rnacentral:rRNA from 1 species